rnacentral:rRNA from 1 species
AUUGAACGCUGGCGGCAGGCCUAACACAUGCAAGUCGAGCGGAUGAAGGGAGCUUGCUCCUGGCUUCAGCGGCCGACGGGUGAGUAAUUCCUAGGAAUCUGCCUGAUCGUGGGGGAUAACGUCCGGAAGCGGGCGCUAAUACCGCAUACGUCCUGAUGGAGAAAGUGGGGGUUCUUCGGACCUCACGCUAUCAGAUGAGCCUAGGUCGGAUUAGCUAGUUGGUGUGGUAAAGGCCUACCAAGGCGACGAUCCGUAACUGAUCUGAGAGGAUGAUCAGUCACACUGGAACUGAGACACGGUCCAGACUCCUACGGGAGGCAGCAGUGGGGAAUAUUGGGCAAUGGGCGAAAGCCUGAUCCAGCCAUGCCGCGUGAGUGAAGAAGGUCUUCGGAUUGUAAAGCACUUUAAGUUGGGAAGAAGAGAAGUGAGUUAAUACCUGGCCGUCUUGACGGUACCAACAGAGAAAGCCCCGGCUAACUUCGUG